rnacentral:lncRNA from 1 species
AGGCAAUAAAGGCCACAAAGGAGAGUAUAGUACCCCAGGGCUAGUAGCAGCAGUGUGCCAUUGCCACCCCAAGGCCUGAAAGGAUGAGCGGUGGAAAGUUACUGGUACUUAAAGCAGAAGGACUGUGUGGAGGAGCCAGCUGACAGGUGUUGAUACUUUUGGUGAAAGACUCAGCCAGUCCACGGCCACACCAGAAGAAGGAAGUGAGGGGAAUUGACACCUGGAUCUGACUCUCCUCCUAUCUUCUGGUUUCCUCCUGGUGCUACCCACUGGCUGAGACCAACCAGAAAGCAGAGGACAAGGGAGCCAGCCAAUAGAUGUCAUCCAUAUGAUGUCAUCAACCUCCGAGGGCACAGAGCAAAGUGGAGAAGUAGGGAAAGUAAACCAGCAUGGCACGUGAGUGAUCUCCAGCACAGGAGCCUUAGAAGGCUUGGACACCACUUCUCACUAUGUUGCUAUUUCUUGAAUAAAAUAAAGUUAAAAUCAACUUUAGAAAUAAUUAUUCAUGCCUACUAAUUUCUCACAGGAGUCCUUCAAGACACGAACGUGAUGCUUCAUCAUCUGGAGCUGCUACCAAGACCUAUCUUCCUAGGAUCCUCACCACUUGGACCAGAGGGAGUUCUCAACUUCUGUACAAGACUAGAGCCAAAUAUGAAACAAAGUACUGGUACUGAUACUAGCACUGCAUAUAUAGCUGCGCACAGGCACUGCAUCUCAAGAAAGUGGAGCAAUCAAAUGUAUGUGAGGAAGAGGCUCAGUAGAAAGUAAAUGUUGUCCUUACAUCCAAGAGAAAGACUUCCAGUAAUGGUGACCUAAAGUGGUCAGGUGAUUCUUCUCCACAGAAAACAAGUAUAAAAGUGGAUGAAAUUGUCAAAAACAAAUCAAGGCACUGGAAAUUUACCAAAGGAAAAUAAACUUUGAGAAACAUUUAUUCUCAGAAAACAGAGCUUCAGUUCCAAGAAGCUCAAUGAACCCCAAGUAGAUUAAACACAAAGAAAACCACACUUAGACACCUCAUAGUCAAAUUUCUGAGAGACAAAGAAACAUAUUUGAAAACAACUAGAGAAAAAUGACUCGUGACAUACAGGUGACCAAUAAAACAAUUAAUGGCUGACCUCUCAUCAGAAACAAUGAAGGCCAGAAGCCACUGAAAUAAUAUAUUCAAAGAGCUGAAAGAAAAACAACUAUCAAACAAGAAUUCUAUAUCCAGAGAAACUAUCCUUCAAAAAGAGAGGCAACAAACCAUAAUACAAUGAUAACUAGUACCUAUAAUACAUGAAGAACUCUCAAAAUCUGGAAGUACACAAUCCAAUUGGAAAAAG